rnacentral:lncRNA from 1 species
GCCAGGGCUGAGAUCCCGAAGGCGGGCGAGGCCUUGGGGAUGAAGGUGAGAAAUUCGAGAAUCCCCGGAGAUAACACAUCAGCAAAUAGUGCGCAGGCAGAACAAGCUGUUGGAGGUGAGAGACACAGAGCAGAGAAGCACCCGCACCUGGAGAGUCAGGAGGGCCUCACAUCAGAACGCCUGAGCAAAUACAGUUUUGAAGGAUACUAAUUUUUUAAAAAGUUCAUUCACAUGAGUUAGACAAAGAGAAAGAAGCAGGACAUUCUAGGAAGAAGGAACGGCCCAGGCAAAAGCG